rnacentral:rRNA from 1 species
AACGAACGCUGGCGGCAUGCCUAACACAUGCAAGUCGAACGAGACCUUCGGGUCUAGUGGCGCACGGGUGCGUAACGCGUGGGAACCUGCCCUUAGGUUCGGAAUAACUCCCCGAAAGGGGUGCUAAUACCGGAUAAUGUCUUCGGACCAAAGCUUUAUCGCCUUUGGAUGGGCCCGCGUUGGAUUAGCUAGUUGGUAGGGUAAAAGCCUACCAAGGCGACGAUCCAUAGCUGGUCUGAGAGGAUGAUCAGCCACACUGGGACUGAGACACGGCCCAGACGCCUACGAGAGGCAGCAGUGAGGAAUAUUGGAGAAUGGGCGAGAGCCUGAUCCAGCAAGGCCGCGUGAGUGAUGAAGGCCUUAGGGUUGUAAAGCUCUUUUGCCCGGGAUGAUAAUGACAGUACCGGGAGAAUAAGCACCGGCUAACUCCGUG